rnacentral:rRNA from 1 species
UACGUAGGGCGCAAGCGUUGUCCGGAAUUAUUGGGCGUAAAGAGCUCGUAGGCGGCUUGUCGCGUCGGUUGUGAAAGCCCGGGGCUUAACUCCGGGUCUGCAGUCGAUACGGGCAGGCUAGAGUUCGGUAGGGGAGAUCGGAAUUCCUGGUGUAGCGGUGAAAUGCGCAGAUAUCAGGAGGAACACCGGUGGCGAAGGCGGAUCUCUGGGCCGAUACUGACACUGAGGAGCGAAAGCGUGGGGAGCGAACAGG